GCGGUGGAUGAUGUGGAUAAUUCGAUGCAACGCGAAAACCUUACCUACCCUUGACAUGUCCGGAAUCCCGAAGAGAGUUUGGGAGUGCUCGCAAGAGAACCGGAACACAGGUGCUGCAUGGCUGUCGUCAGCUCGUGUCGUGAGAUGUUGGGUUAAGUCCCGCAACGAGCGCAACCCUUGUCAUUAGUUGCCAUCAUUUGGUUGGGCACUCUAAUGAGACUGCCGGUGACAAACCGGAGGAAGGUGGGGAUGACGUCAAGUCCUCAUGGCCCUUAUGGGUAGGGCUUCACACGUCAUACAAUGGUCGGUACAGAGGGUUGCCAACCCGCGAGGGGGAGCUAAUCCCACAAAGCCGAUCGUAGUCCGGACCGCAGUCUGCAACUCGACUGCGUGAAGUCGGAAUCGCUAGUAAUCGCAGAUCAGCAACGCUGCGGUGAAUACGUUCCCGGGCCUU
rnacentral:rRNA from 1 species